GAUGAACGCUGGCGGCGUGCCUAAUACAUGCAAGUCGAGCGAACGGACGAGAAGCUUGCUUCUCUGAUGUUAGCGGCGGACGGGUGAGUAACACGUGGAUAACCUACCUAUAAGACUGGGAUAACUUCGGGAAACCGGAGCUAAUACCGGAUAAUAUUUUGAACCGCAUGGAUCAAAAGUAAAAGACGGUCUUGCUGUCACUUAUAGAUGGAUCCGCGCUGCAUUAGCUAGUUGGUAAGGUAACGGCUUACCAAGGCAACGAUGCAUAGCCGACCUGAGAGGGUGAUCAGCCACACUGGAACUGAGACACGGUCCAGACUCCUACGGGAGGCAGCAGUAGGGAAUCUUCCGCAAUGGGCGAAAGCCUGACGGAGCAACGCCGCGUGAGUGAUGAAGGUCUUCGGAUCGUAAAACUCUGUUAUUAGGGAAGAACAUAUGUGUAAGUAACUGUGCACAUCUUGACGGUACCUAAUCAGAAAGCCACGGCUAACUACGUG
rnacentral:rRNA from 1 species